AUAAAAUUUCUUCGGUAACUCAAAAGGUCAACGUCCUAAAGAAAAUAAAUCAAUUAUAACACGUUAAAUAAAAUAUUAAAGCGGAUGUCCAGAUGCUUAAACUCAGCUGUCAUAGCCAUCAAUUUAUUUAUGACUAGCAAGCGGUAAGCUUUUGGCAAAUGACUCGGUGGAAAAAGAAAAUUUCGAGUGUUCAUUAGGAAAGAAAGCUAAAAAAAAUUGAAGCUUUCAUAAAGUUGGCGCAAAUAGAAUAAAAAAGGUUAGAUGUUACUAAGUAAUAACAGCUCGGUGCUCAGCAUUAACCUACAAAUACAGUAACAAUAACAAUAAUAGUUUAAAAAUAUAAAACAAGUAAAAAGAAAUUUUACACACUUCCAUUUACAUUUAGUUAUUUAUAGUUAAACCAGGGGAAAAAGAUAAUACGAAAUUAGAACUCACGCGGCCUUUGUGCUCAUGAGCGUCAUUAGACGGCAUUUUUCAGGGUAGCAUCAGUUUUAAGACAUGAGAGAACGAGACGGGCUUUUUUGAUCAUCUGAAAUACAACAUUAUACUACAUUACUGUACUAAACUAUAGAUAAUAUCAUAACUUAUGCACACUAGCAACCUCUGGGUGUCCCUGGGAGGCAUUAUUGCUGCCAAACGUCCAGAAUAGACAGGUCUGACGCAACAAUUGGCUGACGGGUUGGUGAGAAAAAACAUUGUUGACAAAGGUUAACACCUUUAUGAUAAGUAUAGGAUUAAAUCGUGCCAAUAAUUUCGAUUUGAUUGUUUAACAUUUGAUAAUUAAAAGUUACUUUGUAUGUUGCACAGAAAAAGGAGA